CUUCCUCAAAUAGCAUUGUUUAACAAGGCCCAAACCUAACUAUAAAAACCUUCUUUUCUCUUCCUUCCCCUCAUUUUCACCUUCUUUUUUUCUCUCUGCCGUGGUUCUCUCCCUUCUCUCUACUGUUCCCUUUUCUUCUUCUUCUUCUUUCUUCUCCUUUCUUUUUCUUCCCUGCCGACCCUUCUUCCCUUAUCCCUUCCUCGCCGGCACACUCUUUUCCUCUCUCUCUUUCUUUCCGCACCGACGUCACUCCUCCCUCUCUUUUCUUUUCUCUUGUCGUUGGCGUCACUCACCUAGCUCUCUCUCUCUAUCUUCCGGUCACUCUCCCUCCAUCGACCUCUCUCUCUCUAGAAUCUUCCACCACGUCGCCCCUUUCUAAUAGCAACUAACCCAAAAACCUUUCACAAAAUCAACCCACUUCCCUCAUUUCCCAUGGCAUAUUUUCUUGAUUUUAUUUUUUAAUUUUGAUUUGAUUAGUGUGUUUCUAUUGUGGCUAAUGGUUGUUAGAAAGCUAGGGAUUUUUUGUUCUUUUGGCAGCUUGAGAACAUGGAUUUUUCGGUUCUGGUUUUUGUUUUGUUUAAGGGGAAUGGGUUUUUUUGGUUGCUUUUUUUUUGCAAUAUUUCUCCUCCCAGUCUCCUCUACUAGACCUCCUCUUUUCAACUGGAACUUUUGGGUUCUUAUAGAACCCGAUUGUCCAAAUUUUUGAUCAAUCAGAAAAAGGAUUCAUGCCUUUUUCAGCAUGAAUUUCGAAUGGGUGGCCUUCAAGUCAAAAAUAAUCCACCGAAAAUGAUCUCAAAUCUCAGCUACCUGAGGAGCAUUCAAUGCUCUGCCUUUUGUUGAAAAUGGAAGCCAAACGUGCUUCCAGCCUCUUUUUCUCUUUUUUUUUGUUUUGCUUGUUUUUUUGGUUUUAUUUAUUUAUUAUUUAUUUUAUUUAUGGUGUCUACAGGUAUUGAUACUUGAAACCUAAAAAGAACUCCUGAUGAACAAGUAUCGAUACAUAUUUUUUGAGUAUUGAUACAUUUGUCCAAAAAGGGAAAAGUAUUGAUACUUGUACCCAAGGUAUCGAUACUUAUGUCUCAGAUUUCAAAAAAAUAAAAGUAAAAUGAUCUUUUCACAAAUAUUUUAGUACCUUAGAAUGGACUCUUGAUGAACAAGUAUCGAUGCAUUUGGCCAGAAAAGGAAAAGCAUUGAUACCUAUAUCCAAGGUAUCGAUACCUAUGCCUCGAAUUUCAAAAAAAAAUAAAGGUAAAACAGUUUUUUCAUAACUAUUUUAAUACCAUAAACCCUCCAAAACCCCCUAAACAUCUUUUACUGUCUAAACCUCUGUUUUCUCUUUCCUCUCUUUCUCUCAUCUUUCUAACUCAUUUUCUCACCAAACAAGCUCUGGAGUUCAGAUUUUUGUUUUUAAUCAUCUUAAAGGUAAGAUUUUAACACCUUAAACAUCUAAUUGCAGGUUUUAAUUUCCAAAUUCAAUAAAUUUUUGAAAAUCCGUUCCUCUCUCUAAAACUAUAGGUUUUAGGUAGUUUUGAUUCUCUCAAGCUCACCAAAGUAAGAUUACAAAGAACUCUAGUUAGUUGUACUAUAAUUCAAAGUUAGACUAGGAUUGAGACAUUGAUUUUAGGUUAUAGAGCAAUUAAAGAAAUUCUUGAAGGAAUAAAUAGGUUAUUACGAAAUUCAUGGAAAUAAGACAAGAUGUUGGUGUUGACUAUACAUUGGUAAGCAUGUUGAAGGAUUUAGUAACUUGGAUUGAUCGAGUUUCAAUGUUGAAAGCACUAAGAAAAUGACACUCUUAAAUUAAGUGACUAGAUAUGGUGUUUUUAAUUAUUUUGAUAUAAUUAAUGCCUUGUCUAUAAAUUUGCAUUAAAUUCUAAUUUCAAUGAAGUGUGGAUUAUGGAAAAAAGAUUUGAUGAUGUUUUUGGUGUUUAAAUAUGCUUGAUAAAAUAUACGUAUAUGUUAUGUAAAUAUGUUUAUUAUGUAUUUAGUUUUGUGCAUGGGAAACAAGCAUCUUGAAUAUUUUAUAUCUCAAAAAUCUGAAGUUUGUCUGUGAAUUUUAAGUAUGUUCAGAUUUCAAAAUUUAUGUUGAAUAAUAUUUUGAAACAACCCUAGUAUAAGGAUACUUUGUUUUUGGUAAAUUAGUUUGAGUUGAUGACAUCGAAUGAUUUCAUGCCUCAACUUAUCCAUUUGUAUAGGUGAAUGAUUUCACCCAAUGAAUUUUCAAUUCUAAUAAGCUUAACCGAAAUAUGUUUUAGUAAGUUUUUAGUGGAGCCUAUUAAGUCAAAGACUUGUAGUUAGCAACAACAAAUGCUAACCAUUAUGCAUAAUGAUUUGUUCUGCUUCAGGUCAGUGGCUAUAUGCACUAUACCUUAUUACUGUGAUGACACCCUCUAUUAUGUCUAGUGGGGAUGAUACCUAUCCUUUGUUUAGUUAUAAAGCCGAUGGCUAUAUGCAUCGGACUAUCUUGAUAUUACGACAGCCCUUGUAUGUCCAGAUAGUGGGGACAAUACUCUAUCCUCUGUUUCUGUUAGUUCUUCUUAAGCUAGCACUCCAUAAAUGUCUAAGUUUUGUUAAGUGAUGUUUAAGACUUGAAAGGAUGAUUUUAUGACUUUGCUUUGAAGAUGAAAGUUGAUUAUAACUAUUCAGAUUAUUGGUUUAAGUUUGGAAACGAAAUAUGAAAAGUUUUGGGAUACUUGAUGAUGUAAAAUGGCACCUCCAGUGGAUGGACCACAACGCACGAUAUGGACAUUUGAUCUUGUGAAAGCAUGCUUUAAAGUAGCUUCUGCCUUAAAACAUUGAUUGCGUCAAGCCACGCUCAUCAGUUGUUAGCAACAUUUGUAAAAUGCCCAUAAAGGGCUUAAAUACGGAUAAGUGUAAUGACAUGAAGAAAAUGAAAGUUUAAGGCAAUGAGAACAGAAAGUGAAGGCUAUGUGUAAUAGAUGCAAUUUUUUUCACUCACAUGUAAUGGAUUUGAUAGUU